rnacentral:lncRNA from 1 species
AAAUUAUAAUUAUUAUUGUGCUGUCAUGUAAUUGUCAUCAUACUUUUCCCCCUAAGAGCUCAAAGCAGAAUCUUUGAAAAGAACUUUUCAACUACAAAAAAAUGUCAUGAUCCAUUAAAAGAAUUUCAAAUUUACUGUAGUAGCCCUUGAUCUUGUGGCACUUUUUUGUGUAUUAGCCUAAAGCAGUCUCAUUUGGGACUGUUCAUUGGGUAAUGUUGGGUAAUAUUAACACAAUUAUAUUAGAAGUUGAAAAGGACACAUAAUUAAAUCACCCCAGGAUGGCCCAUCAUGCCAUGAUAUAUACCAGUGCCAAAUAGAGGAGAGUCUGUCUAUUUGAUCCUAGGGGAAAUAUGAAGCAACUGCCUCCAGACUCAGUCCAUUUUAUUUUUUGACAGCUCUAACUCUUUAAGAAAAUUUUCUUUACCUGAAAUCUCAUUUUGCCUCUUGGCAAUUUUCCACUUAUGACUCCUACUGCUGCCCUUUGGAGCCAAGCAGAGAAAAUCUAAUUAAUCUCUCAGCCUGUCAAGAGCUUUCUGGAUCCUGACUCUCUCCUCCAGCUUAUAAUUGGUCCCACAGCCUCCAUGAAAUGAAUCUGGGCAAGUCAAGCUUAAUGGACAAUAGGGGGCAAGGAAAAGAUGUAUGACUCCUGUUGACAAUAUUGCUAUCAGUACAGAAGAGAUGCUAUUAACUUUCAUAUUUGCAGCCAAUACCCUGAGCUCCUCCAGAGUAAGGUUGGGCUUCUCCUUUUCCUUGUAUCCCCUGUGCUUAGUUAGCAUUGUGCCUGGCCCUACAAGACACCCACUGACUGACUUACACAAACUUUAGAUGGGAAAGCCAAAAUUCAAGUCUUUUCACCCUGAAAUGAAUACAAGACAUCUGUUCUGAGUAACUUCCAUCUGGAAUACUGUAGCCCUCAUUUCCCGUUUGCAUACGUGAUAUUAGUGUAAUUGAAACUGGUUUAGAAACAGAAAAGGAAGAAAAAUAAUACUUGCUUCAUUUGGUCCACAGAAAAUUGCAUUGUCUUUUGAUUUCCACCCUUGAAUGGAAGUAGUUAUGGUGCCACACACAAGAGAAAUGUCAUCUUAAAAAUUACACGCUAAUAUCAGUUAGCACUGUGAUGUUAGUAGCAAUUAACCUUAAAAGCAACAAUUUUUUUAAUAUGGUGUCUCUCCAUUAACUCAUCCCUUUUUAUAAACAAUUACAUGAUACAUUCUCAUGAAAAGCAUAUAUAUUCAAUAAUAAAUAUUUAACUUGAAGAUCA